rnacentral:rRNA from 1 species
UACAGAGGGUGCAAGCGUUAAUCGGAAUUACUGGGCGUAAAGCGCGCGUAGGUGGUUUGUUAAGUGGAAUGUGAAAUCCCCGGGCUCAACCUGGGAACUGCAUCCAAAACUGGCAAGCUAGAGUAUGGUAGAGGGUGGUGGAAUUGCCUGUGUAGCGGUGAAAUGCGUAGAUAUAGGAAGGAACACCAGUGGCGAAGGCGACCACCUGGACUGAUACUGACACUGAGGUGCGAAAGCGUGGGGCGCAAACAGGAUUAGAUACCCUGGUGGUCCACGCCGUAAACGAUGUCAACUAGCCGUUGGGCGCCUUGAGCUCUUAGUGGCGCAGCUAACGCAUUAAGUUGCCCGCCUGGGGAGUACGGCCGCAAGGUUAAA